GCACUGUUGCUGUCAAAGCUGCCAACAGGCGCAGCAAUGCUACUGUGAUAAAAUAAGUCCAAUUCUAUCCCAAUCUUGCUUUCCUAGGAAGAACAGAACUCAUUAAAUAAUUAUCAACUGUGACAAGAAAGUAGCUGGCCAAACACUUGCUGCUAAUCUAGGCAUGACAGCAGGACUAUACCUUUCAAAGCAGUAAUUAGCUAGAUGAACAACAACAUAAGUACCAGACAAUGACAUGGAAAGGACUGUCCCUAAAGGACAGAUUUAUUAUACGUAGGGUUUAGUGUUUGUGUGACUUAUGAAUGUUAUUUUGCAGUAUACAAUUACACUUCUCUUCUGCUGCCUUACUCUUUUGUUUUCUGUACAGUUUAUGGAAGUGGGCAGAGAGAAAAUCAGGAGCUGAAGCCAUAUGGGAGCAGGUGAAUUAAUCACUUCAGAGUUAUUUCAGCUAUUUCUAAACUAAAGAUGGAGCAGAACACUGACCAAGGACAAGGACCUACACUGGAAUUUGAAUGGACUCAGAGCAAGUGAGAUACUUGAUGCAGCUGCAGAGUUUUCUGCAUGUCCCACUGUGUGGUGGGGGCACAUUGCUUCCUGAUCUCUGUAAUUCUGUCUCUGUGGAUUUUCUCCAAAGAUGGUUGGAAUUGAUGAGCUAUGAUUUCCACACUGCUUCCCAGACUGACUUGAGCAGUAGAGUCUCAUUCACAAGUGUUUGCUGAAGUUGGUACAAUGGGCCCAGCUGAACAGUUUUCAACUCUUAAUCCUGUAAUCCUAAUGCAUGUUCUGCUUUCUGUCUUUCUUUUGAUCAUUUAAAAUCUUUCUUGAAGUAUAGACAAGCCCUACUCCUCUUCAAGCAGUGCAGGAAAAGUACCAUACUAAUGUCUGGGGAUACUGAUUUCUGUUUCUGAUUUCCUGUU